rnacentral:rRNA from 1 species
GACGAACGCUGGCGGCGUGCUUAACACAUGCAAGUCGAACGAAGUGGCGAACGGGUGAGUAACGCGUAAUCAACCUGCCCUUCAGAGGGGUACAACAGUUGGAAACGACUGCUAAUACCGCAUACUGAAGGUGGGGAUUGCGUUUGUUUAGCUAGUUGGAGGGGUAACGGCCCACGAAGGCGAUGAUCAGUAGCCGGACGGAGAGGAGGUACGGCCACAUGGGGACUGAGACAGGGCACAGGUUGCUACGGGCGGGAGCAGUAGGGAUUCUUCCGGAAGGGACGAAAAUCUGACGGAGCAACGCCGCAUGAGUAAUGACGGCCUUCGGGUUGUAAAGGUCUGUUAAUCGGGACGCGGUACCGGAAUAAAAAGCCACGGCUAACUACGUGCCAGCCGCCGCGGUAAUUC